UUGGACCUGAUAUCAGGCCAGGAUACCCGCUGAACUUAAGC
rnacentral:rRNA from 1 species